AACGCGAAGAACCUUACCCAGGCUUGACAUGCACCUGAAAGCCGUGGAAACACGGUCCCCGCAAGGCAGGUGCACAGGUGGUGCAUGGCUGUCGUCAGCUCGUGCCGUGAGGUGUUGGGUUAAGUCCCGCAACGAGCGCAACCCUUAUCCCUAGUUGCCAUCGGGUCAAGCCGGGCACUCUAGUGAAACCGCCCCGGAUAACGGGGAGGAAGGUGGGGAUGACGUCAAGUCCUCAUGGCCUUUAUGUCCAGGGCUACACACGUGCUACAAUGGUCGGUACAAACCGUCGCAAACCCGCGAGGGGGAGCUAAUCGGAAAAAGCCGACCUCAGUUCGGAUUGGAGUCUGCAACUCGACUCCAUGAAGCUGGAAUCGCUAGUAAUCGCGGAUCAGAACGCCGCGGUGAAUACGUUCCCGGGCCUUGUACACACCGGAGUA
rnacentral:rRNA from 1 species